rnacentral:tRNA from 1 species
GCGGGCGUAGCUCAGUGGUAGAGCACCAUCCUUCCAAGUUGGCUAUGAGGGUUCGAUUCCCUUCGCCCGCUCCA